GACGAACGCUGGCGGCGUACUUAACACAUGCAAGUCGAACGAAGAGCGAUGGAAGCUUGCUUCUCUCAAUCUUAGUGGCGAACGGGUGAGUAACGCGUAAUCAACCUGCCCUUCAGAGGGGGACAACAGUUGGAAACGACUGCUAAUACCGCAUACGAUCUAAUCUCGGCAUCGAGGAUAGAUGAAAGGUGGCCUCUACAUGUAAGCUAUCACUGAAGGAGGGGAUUGCGUCUGAUUAGCUAGUUGGAGGGGUAACGGCCCACCAAGGCGAUGAUCAGUAGCCGGUCUGAGAGGAUGAACGGCCACAUUGGGACUGAGACACGGCCCAGACUCCUACGGGAGGCAGCAGUGGGGAAUCUUCCGCAAUGGACGAAAGUCUGACGGAGCAACGCCGCGUGAGCGAGGACGGCCUUCGGGUUGUAAAGCUCUGUUAAUCGGGACGAAAGGCCUUCUUGCGAAUAGUGAGAAGGAUUGACGGUACCGGAAUAGAAAGCCACGGCUAACUACGUG
rnacentral:rRNA from 1 species